GGAGGGUUGGCCGAGUGGUCUAUGGCGCUGGUCUUGAAAACCAGUUGGGGGAAACCCCUCGCAGGUUCGAAUCCUGCACCCUCCGCCG
rnacentral:tRNA from 2 species